rnacentral:rRNA from 1 species
CCUACGGGCGGCUGCAGUGGGGAAUAUUGGACAAUGGGCGAAAGCCUGAUCCAGCCAUGCCGCGUGUGUGAAGAAGGCCUUCGGGUUGUAAAGCACUUUCAGUGGGGAAGAAAGCCUUGGGGCUAAUACCCUCGAGGAAGGACAUCACCCACAGAAGAAGCACCGGCUAACUCCGUGCCAGCAGCCGCGGUAAUACGGAGGGUGCGAGCGUUAAUCGGAAUUACUGGGCGUAAAGCGCGCGUAGGCGGUCUGAUAAGCCGGUUGUGAAAGCCCCGGGCUCAACCUGGGAACGGCAUCCGGAACUGUCAGGCUAGAGUGCAGGAGAGGAAGGUAGAAUUCCCGGUGUAGCGGUGAAAUGCGUAGAGAUCGGGAGGAAUACCAGUGGCGAAGGCGGCCUUAUGGACUGACACUGACGCUGAGGUGCGAAAGCGUGGGUAGCAAACAGGAUUAGAUACCCUGGUAGUC